rnacentral:misc_RNA from 1 species
AAUCAUCAAAGCCCUUUUCUUUGAUCCUCUCUUGGUCGGGAAAGGGAUUUUUGGACUUGGAGGUUUCAUGCUAGCUUUCAAGCUUUUGAAAGCAAGCUCCUCUCAAAUGAAUUAGUGGGGUCCGCUUUGCCGAUCCUUGACGUGAUAAAGAUGUUUCUACGUUUUGGAUUCGGCACUGUCUCUUUGGACGUCUGCUUACAACUGUCCCCUUGGACGACGAUGGUGCUCCGGUCACUGCCAUCUAUAUAUUGGUGAGAGGCUGGACCCACGAGAAAAAACC